rnacentral:rRNA from 1 species
GUCUAUUGCCAUACCCCUCGAUCUUUCUGAUCUCCAAAGCUAAGCAAGUCCAGGCCUGGUUAGUAGUUGGAUAGGAGACUGCCUUUGAAUACUGGAUGCUGUAGACU